rnacentral:rRNA from 1 species
UACGUAGGGGGCAAGCGUUGUCCGGAUUUAUUGGGCGUAAAGCGCUCGCAGGUGGUUUGUCGCGUCGUGCGUGAAAGACCCCGGCUCAACUGGGGAGGGUCGUGCGAUACGGGCGAACUGGAGGCCAGUAGGGGGAUGCGGAAUUCCGGGUGUAGUGGUGGAAUGCGUAGAGAUCCGGAGGAACACCAGCGGCGAAGGCGGCAUCCUGGACUGGUCCUGACACUCAGGAGCGAAAGCGUGGGGAGCAAUCCGG